rnacentral:snRNA from 1 species
ACAGUUGCACGGUAGGCCGCCCCACCUCUGCGAAUUCCCCAAAUGUGGGAAUCUCGACUGCGUAAUUUCUGGCAGUGGGGGACUGCGUUUGCGCUCUCCCCUG